GUUUGUGCGACCUUCUUCCUUCCUUCUUCCUUCUUCUGCACCUCUGUUUUACAGAGGGCUCCAGAAACCACCGAGAAAAUGAGAGAACUUUGGUCUUCCUCCACCUACUUCUUCUAUCAUAAGCGUCGCCGGCGAGGGUGAUUCAUUAGUUGACGAUGAACCUCCUGCCGAUCAUUGGAAGGCUUGCUACUGUAUUAGGUUAAUUAUUCCCAAUCUGGAAGAGUUGCGAUUGGACGGAAAAGAAGUGGACAAGAUCAGGAGUGGGCAGUUUGCAAUGCACCGCUUUCCAAAAGUAAAAGGGCUCGGUCUAUAUGCUAAAAAAGCAACAACUUUGUUGUACAAAUCAUUAUUGUCCAGCUUCCCAAAUUAAGAGCAUCUCACAAUAGGCAGUGAGUUUAAGGGGAUAUUGUCAAGUAAGGAUCCUUUUGGAGGGGACCAUGUUGCUACACUUGUUGUUCCCUUUCUAAAAUUAACUCUCCAAGAUAUUUCCAAUAUGAUAAGCAUGGAACCAUCCUUCAUUUCUCCAUCAAAUCUCACACUUCUCUGCAUGGAAUUGUGUACUCUAUUAACCACUUUGCUAACAUCAUUAGUAGUUCGAAGCUUGGUCCAUCUCACAUGCUUCACAAUUCAUUUCUGUGAUGAGAUAGAGGAAAUAAUAACAAAGCAAGAGGGAGAGGAUGAUGAGGACAUGGAUGUCAUUUUUAGCAAAUCACAGUAUUUGCAACUUAAUACCUUCAGGUUUCCAUUAUUGGAAGAUGUCACCAUAAGAGAAUGUCCUCACCUCACAAUGUUCUGUGCAGGUGCCAUACAUUUUUUGUGCCUUAAAAGCA